AUCUUUCUAGUAACAAGUAAGUAUAAGUGGCUUCCAACCACCAGGUCUUGGUUUGAAUCCAAGGAAAGAUA
rnacentral:tRNA from 1 species